rnacentral:tRNA from 1 species
UCCCUGGAGGACUAGUGGUUAGGCCACGGUGCUCUCACCACUGCAGCCCGGGUUUGAUUCCCGGCCAGGGAA